rnacentral:rRNA from 1 species
UAGGGAAUCUUCGGCAAUGGACGAAAGUCUGACCGAGCAACGCCGCGUGAGUGAAGAAGGUUUUCGGAUCGUAAAACUCUGUUGUUAGAGAAGAACAAGGACGUUAGUAACUGAACGUCCCCUGACGGUAUCAAACCAGAAAGCCACGGCUAACUACGUGCCAGCAGCCGCGGUAAUACGUAGGUGGCAAGCGUUGUCCGGAUUUAUUGGGCGUAAAGCGAGCGCAGGCGGUUUCUUAAGUCUGAUGUGAAAGCCCCCGGCUCAACCGGGGAGGGUCAUUGGAAACUGGGAGGCUUGAGUGCAGAAGAGGAGAGUGGAAUUCCAUGUGUAGCGGUGAAAUGCGUAGAUAUAUGGAGGAACACCAGUGGCGAAGGCGGCUCUCUGGUCUGUAACUGACGCUGAGGCUCGAAAGCGUGGGGAGCAAACAGG